UGAUUGGUGUCCUUAUAAGAAGAGGAGAUCAGGGCACAACGCACAGACAGCGGGGACCACGUGAAGACACAGGGAGAAGGCCGCAUCUACAAGCCAAGGAGAGACCAACCCCGUCGGCCCCUGAUCUCAGACUUGUGGCCUCCAGCACUGCUGCUCAGCCACCCCAACUGUUCCCUCAUGACGGCAGCCCCAGCAGAUGAAUAGCCUGCGUUGUGCAGGCUGACAGGGAAGAGGCAAUGAGGAGAGAGGGAGGCUCCUGCUCUUCUCCCUGGCCACGGAUGACUGAAUCAAGGGAUCCCGAUCAAGCAGAACCCCUCAAAGGUCUUUUGGGGCCUGGUGCGGAAACCUGUGCUUACUGCAGAAUGUGGAAUUGAGACAUGGAGGCUGCACCAUUGGGUGAGGGCGGCUGGUGCUGAGGGCAAGGGCCAGGCCAAGUCACAGUCACUUGUAAGUCAGAAUCCGGGGUUGGGGGGCAGGGGCUGGGGGUAAACUGAGGAAGCUAGGCGGCAGAGGAAAGACAGUGAGGGGGACAAACAGGGUAGAGAGAGACCCUGCUCCUGAGGACGGGCUGGUUUCCAUCAGGUCCUCACUUGUGAGACCCCCUGGGUGACUUCACAGCAAACCUUCCCUUGUACCCGAGCUGCUGGAGGGGCCUCUGUUCCUACCAGCGGAAACUCCAGGCCAUGUCUCCUGGACUGACCUUGAGCUCCUCAAGGGCAGGGAUUGUGCCUUACUCAACUUUCAUUCCUUGCAGCACACCAACAGGGUAGGGACCGUGCUUGUAUGAGUGUGUGUGUGUGGAGAGAGUAUGUGUGAGUGUGAGAGUGUGUGUGACAGGUGACAGCGUGUGUGUAAUUUUUAUCUCUCUAGUAGCAGAUGGAGGCCAGAGCUACCUGCCUUGGAAAUACUGUGUAUUUGAGCUGUACUCCUGUGUGUGCACAGCUUGAGCUUGGCUAGGCAAUGAUUCAAAAACCAUGGGUACCACUAGGAGGACUGUAAUCAAAAUGACAAC
rnacentral:lncRNA from 1 species